rnacentral:tRNA from 1 species
GUUUUUAAGGUGUUAUACAUAUUACAUUUUCACUGUAAGGUUGAAGAAGAGUCUUCUAAAAAUA